rnacentral:tRNA from 1 species
GCCUGGGUGGCUCAGUCGGUUAAGCAUCUGACUUCAGCUCAGGUCAUGAUCUCGUGGUCUGUGAUUCAAGCCCCACCUCGGGCU